rnacentral:tRNA from 1 species
GGUUGUAUGGUGUAGCGGUAGCACAUUGGAUUCUGAUUCUUCGUCUCAGAACAUUCCAACGACCCCGGUUCGAUCCCGGGUACGACCU